GAUGAACGCUGGCGGCGUGCCUAAUACAUGCAAGUCGAGCGAACGGACGAGAAGCUUGCUUCUCUGAUGUUAGCGGCGAACGUGUGAGUAACACGUGGGUAACCUACCUAUAUGAAUGGGAUAACUUCGGGAAACCGGAGCUAAGACCGGAGAAUAUUUUGAACCGCAUGGUUCAAAAGUGAAAGACGGUCUUGCUGUCACGUAUAGAUGGAGCCGCUCUGCAUUAGUUAGUUGGUAAGGUAACGGCUUACGAAGUCAACGAUGCAUAGCCGACCUGAGAGGCUGGUCGUCCACACUGGAUCUUAGACACGGUCUUGACUCCUACGGGAGUCAGCCGUAGGGACUCUUCCGUAAGGGGCCACAGCCUUACGGAGCAACCCCCCGUCACUGCUGAAGGUCUUCGCAUCAUAACACUCUGUUAUUAGGGAAGAACAUAUUUUUAAUUAUCUGUUCACAUCUCGACGGUACCUAAUCAGAAAGACACGGCUAACUCCGUG
rnacentral:rRNA from 1 species